rfam:Janthinobacterium sp. Marseille, complete genome.
ACCGCCACGCCUCUUAACAAUGCGCAACCUUGGCGGUU